GAUAGUUCAGCUGGUCAGAGCAGGAGACACUUAAUCUCAGGGUUGUGGGUUUGAGCCCCACAUUGGGUGAAAGAUUCCU